UACGGAGGGCGCAAGCGUUGUUCGGAAUCACUGGGCGUAAAGCGCGUGUAGGCGGCUUGGUAAGUCGGGUGUGAAAGCCCGGGGCUCAACCCCGGAACUGCACUCGAAACUGCCUCGCUCGAGUCCCGGAGAGGGUGGUGGAAUUCCCGGUGUAGAGGUGAAAUUCGUAGAUAUCGGGAGGAACACCAGUGGCGAAGGCGGCCACCUGGACGGUGACUGACGCUGAGACGCGAAAGCGUGGGGAGCAAACAGG
rnacentral:rRNA from 1 species